UACGGAAGAUGCGAGCGUUAUCCGGAUUUACUGGGUGUAAAGGGAGCGUAGACGGAAGGUCAAGUCAGGUGUGAAAGGCAUGGGCUCAACCCGUGGACUGCACUUGAAACUGGUCAUCUUGAGUGUCGGAGGGGCAGGCGGAAUUCCUGGUGUAGCGGUGAAAUGCGUAGAUAUCAGGAAGAACACCAGUGGCGAAGGCGGCCUGCUGGACGAUCACUGACGUUGAGGCUCGAAGGCGUGGGGAGCAAAC
rnacentral:rRNA from 1 species